UUCAAACACCGAGAAAAAUACCAACCAAUCUACAAGUUCUCUGACCUCAGAAGGUAACAACAAUGUACCUACCUCGCACGCAGAAGGGGAAAGUUCAGUAACAGAAGAUACUACAUAUGAAACAGGGAAUGAAAAUCGCAGGAAUCAAAGACAACUUACUUUAUCUUCAAAGAGAAAAAAACGAGUAGUGAACAUUGGACUCCUGAAUUGGAAUAUUAAAAGGUGCACACUUAAUUUUAACUACA